rnacentral:lncRNA from 1 species
CUGGGGCCGGGGUGGGGACUCGCCUGAUCCCGCCCGCUGCCACCUCCCUUCCCCUCCCACCGCCCGCUGCGCGGAGCCCGGCAGAGCCCGGCGGGGCAGGCGGCGGAGCCGGGCAGCUCCAGGUAUCCACAGUUAUUUGCUAAGGCAAAAUUUUUGUGGAAGUUCCUUCUCUGGAAGCUUCUGUUUCUAGAAAUGACAAUUCAACACCAGCUUCUCAGCACUACCUUAGUGGUUGUAUCCAUGCCGUGGCAGAAUAGGAAGAGCUUCUGGAACUGACCAAGGUCGUGAGAGGGUUGGGACACUCCAGGUUCAAUGUAAUCUCACUGGGCACCAACA